rnacentral:lncRNA from 1 species
GUCCUUCCAGGCCGAGAAAAGUGACUUCUGUCUGGAGGGGGAGAGACAGGACCCUCACAUUUGGGGCCUGGAAGAAACCCUAAAGACCUAUGAACGAUCGUCUAGGGCCAAGGUCACAUUGUCAAGCGAAAGUGGAAGCGGAGGGGACCAGGAGACGUUCCCGAGGCCACAGAGCUAGUCAGAGGCCACCACGCUUUUCCAUUUCGAACAACCCUGACGGUUGUAAAUGGUGCUACGUGGCCUGACACAUGACAUGUGCCAAAUAAAUGUUUGCCUAACUGUCGGAGGGCGGCUCCGAGUCCCUCACCCUGCGCACCGCGGUGAACCUCGGCCCACUCUGAGCCAGCAGCAGGAGGCCCGAGAGACUGUUCUGGGCGUGGAAAGCCAACAUCGAGCUGUAUAUGGUAAAAAUGAUGCCUUUGUACCAACCCCCCUUCACGUCCUUUGGAUGUCUGUUGGCUUGAAUUGGAAGGGAUGUGAGAGGUCAUGAAGCCCAAGGUAGGUGACACCCAUGGCACCCCAGAGCUCUGCACCAGCCUCCCGAUUUUCCACCUGACGCACCUCGAACGGCUUCAAGAUGAUGGAUUCAUUUGGCAAAUAUUUUGAAAAGACAGUCGCCGCAUUGGAAUGUAAAUUGAUAGACUGCUUUUUAAAGCAAUUGGAAAACAUUUGCUGAGGCGAGCAAUGCCUGUGCUUCUGAUCAGGAGACCCAGGUUCGGGACCUGCUAAGAACAGAAUGGAUGAACAUCUGUGCACAAGCGUGUCCGUUAGCAUCUGCAGCACAAGGAAAAGCUAGGAAUGGGUGCCCGGCAGCUAGCAAAACCAUUCAGUCAAUUCUGGAAUGUGGAUCAGGGAGAAUUUGAGGCCGUUUUCAGAAGUGACUCUUUUUAUAAGCUCCAGCAAACAAACAAUGGUGGUUGGGCUGGACGGGAUUCUUUUUUCUUUCUAUUAAAAAAAAUAUAUAGUUCUCUACUAGGAGUACAUAUUUCUUUGAUUGUUCUUAAAACCUAUUUUAAAUGAGCCAUUAAUGGUUUUCAAAAUUAAUACACUUUCAUUAUAACAAAUCCAUACUCUGCAAGAAAAAAGGCUAAAUGCUGCUCAAAACUUAUAGAAGAAAAUUGAAAUAAUCUAAGAUCCUACCACCUGGAGAGAUUCACCUCUAACAUCUUGUUGUACAAUAACGAGACAGAUAAAAGAUGGACAGAUGGCUGGAUAGAUAGACAGACAGAUAUUACACACACACACACACACACACACACACACAAAUGCUGCUUUGCAAAUUGCUUCCUUCAUUCAUUAAUACGUCAUGGACAUCCUUCCAUAUCAAUAAAAGUCAAUUGACCUCACUCUUUUUUAAUGGU